ensembl:lncRNA
GGGACCGACUGGGACCCACUGGGGGGAAUGGGUGGGAUUGGGGGGACUGAGGGGGACUGGGACCACUGGGAUGGACUGGGGGGACUGGGGGAGGGAGUUGGGGGGGAAUGGGGGGAUACAAACAGCACCUCAAGCCCCACCCCCUUAAAUACAACCCCCUCGAAGCCACGCCCACUCCAAACCACGCCCCCUUCUUAACCACGUCCACUUUAAGCCACGCCCCCACGUCCACUUGAGGCCACGCCCACUUCUAAACCACGCCCAAAAAGGACACGCCUCGUCUAAACCACGCCCACUCUGUAACUACGCCCAAUCAGGACACGCCCCUUCUUAAACCACGCCCCCCACUAUAACCACGCCCAAUCAGGACAUGCCCCUGCUAAACCACGCCCACUCUGUAACCACAUCCAGUCAUGACACGCCCCUUCUUAAACCACGCCCAAUCAGGACACGCCCCUUCUAAACCACGCCCCCCCACUAUAACCACGCCCAAUCAGGACACGCCCCCUCCAAACCACGCCCCCUCCCCAUAGCUCAGCCUGUGGACCCCAUGGAUCCCAUAAGUCAUAGGGGUGACCCCAUAGGAUACAAGGGGGCAAUGGGGUGACCCCAUAGGAUACGAGGGGGCAAUGGGGUGAGCCCAUAGGAUCCCAUAAGUCACACUGUGGAGCCCAUGGAUCCCAUAAGUCACACUGUGGAGCCCACGGCCCUUAUUGGGGACCCCACAACUCAGGCCAUUAACCCCAUAUCCCAAAUUAGUGACCCCAUACCCCGUAUUGGUGACCCCAUACCCCGUAUUCGUGACCCCAUAUCCCAUAUUAGUGACCCCAUAUCCCAAAUUGGUGAACCCAUAUCCCACAAUGGUGACCCCAUAUCCCAUAUUAGUGACCCCAUAUCCCAUACUGGUGACCCCAUACCCCGUAUUGGUGACCCCAUAUCCCACAAUGGUGACCCCAUAUCCCAUAUUAGUGACCCCAUAUCCCAUAUUGCUGACCCCAUAUCCCAUAUUAGUGACCCCAUAUCCCAUAUUAGUGACCCCAUAUCCCAUAUUAGUGACCCCAUAUCCCAUGUAGGUGACCCCAUAUCCCAUAUUAGUGACCCCAUAUCCCAUAUUGAUGACCCCAUAUCCCAUAUCAGUGACCCCAUAUCCCAUAUUGGUGACCCCAUAUCCCAAAUUAGUGACCCCAUAUCCCAUAUUAGUGACCCCAUAUCCCAAAUUGGUGACCCCAUAUCCCAUAUUGGUGACCCCAUAUCCCAUAUUGAUGGCCCCAUAUCCCACAGUGAUGACCCCACACCCCACUGGAAAACAAGAGAAACCCUUUAAUGAUUCCUUAUUGGACAGAAGGUUAAAAAGUGGCAGUAGGGGACCACGGGGGGUUGGGGUGGGUUGGGGUUUUUAGGAUUUUGGGGUAGUUUAUGGGGUCGAUUUUAGGGUGGGGAUUUUUGGGGCCAGUCCAUUAAAGUGCCGUAAUCAGCAAAGAGGCUCAGAGCGCCCCCUACAGGCAGGGGGGGGAAUUGCAUUGAUCUGCCGCCAUUCGGCCCUUCCUUCAUUGAUCCGCCUCCAUUCAUUCAUU